rnacentral:tRNA from 1 species
GGGCGCGUAGCUCAGCUAGGCAGAGCACUAGGCUUUUAACUUAGUGGCCGAGGGUUCAAAGGAACAAAGCGGCUGGCUUUGCCCGAACAAAUCCCUCUGCGCCCGCCA